ensembl:ncRNA asRNA:CR46068 antisense RNA:CR46068
UUGCAAGGAGAACUCACCUGGCCACCGCUGUGAAGGACAGCUCCACAUUGAGUCCCGUCUUGGCCGAGGUCUCCAUGAAGGGCACGUUGUGCUCCCGCCCCAAACGCUCCCCAUCCUCCCGCUUCACCUGCCGCUCGCUGCCGCUGCAGUCGGCCUUGUUGCCUGCGGAUUGAAGCGAAAAGUUGAUUCGAUUCGAAGCUCGCGCGAAUGUUGUCAUAGGUGGUCUUGUUGGUCACGUCGUACAGCAGCAGUAGAGCUUCGGUUGAAAAAUGCAAUUAGGUUCAGUAGCAAAGGUAGGAUAAAGUGCAUCCGAAACAAGGAUAGUUAUUCGAUAAAAAAUAAAGUAAUUGAAAUUUAAAAUAUACAUUCAAACUUCAAUAAAUAUGUGGUGUAUUAGAUA